GGAAUCUGGGAGGACCAUCUCCUAAGGCUAAAUACUCUCUAGUGACCGAUAGUGAACCAGUACCGUGAGGGAAAGGUGAAAAGCACCCCGGAAGGGGAGUGAAAUAGAACCUGAAACCGUGUGCUUACAAGUAGUCAGAGCCCGUUAAUGGGUGAUGGCGUGCCUUUUGUAGAAUGAACCGGCGAGUUACGAUUUGAUGCAAGGUUAAGCAGUAAAUGUGGAGCCGUAGCGAAAGCGAGUCUGAAUAGGGCGUUUAGUAUUUGGUCGUAGACCCGAAACCAGGUGAUCUACCCUUGGUCAGGUUGAAGUUCAGGUAACACUGAAUGGAGGACCGAACCGACUUACGUUGAAAAGUGAGCGGAUGAACUGAGGGUAGCGGAGAAAUUCCAAUCGAACCUGGAGAUAGCUGGUUCUCUCCGAAAUAGCUUUAGGGCUAGCCUCAAGUGAUGAUUAUUGGAGGUAGAGCACUGUUUGGACGAGGGGCCCCUCUCGGGUUACCGAAUUCAGACAAACUCCGAAUGCCAAUUAAUUUAACUUGGGAGUCAGAACAUGGGUGAUAAGGUCCGUGUUCGAAAGGGAAACAGCCCAGACCACCAGCUAAGGUCCCAAAAUAUAUGUUAAGUGGAAAAGGAUGUGGCGUUGCCCAGACAACUAGGAUGUUGGCUUAGAAGCAGCCAUCAUUUAAAGAGUGCGUAAUAGCUCACUAGUCGAGUGACACUGCGCCGAAAAUGUACCGGGGCUAAACAUAUUACCGAAGCUGUGGAUUGUCCUUUGGACAAUGGUAGGAGAGCGUUCUAAGGGCGUUGAAGCAUGAUCGUAAGGACAUGUGGAGCGCUUAGAAGUGAGAAUGCCGGUGUGAGUAGCGAAAGACGGGUGAGAAUCCCGUCCACCGAUUGACUAAGGUUUCCAGAGGAAGGCUCGUCCGCUCUGGGUUAGUCGGGUCCUAAGCUGAGGCCGACAGGCGUAGGCGAUGGAUAACAGGUUGAUAUUCCUGUACCACCUAUAAUCGUUUUAAUCGAUGGGGGGACGCAGUAGGAUAGGCGAAGCGUGCGAUUGGAUUGCACGUCUAAGCAGUAAGGCUGAGUAUUAGGCAAAUCCGGUACUCGUUGAGGCUGAGCUGUGAUGGGGAGAAGACAUUGUGUCUUCGAGUCGUUGAUUUCACACUGCCGAGAAAAGCCUCUAGAUAGAAAAUAGGUGCCCGUACCGCAAACCGACACAGGUAGUCAAGAUGAGAAUUCUAAGGUGAGCGAGCGAACUCUCGUUAAGGAACUCGGCAAAAUGACCCCGUAACUUCGGGAGAAGGGGUGCUCUUUAGGGUUAACGCCCAGAAGAGCCGCAGUGAAUAGGCCCAAGCGACUGUUUAUCAAAAACACAGGUCUCUGCUAAACCGUAAGGUGAUGUAUAGGGGCUGACGCCUGCCCGGUGCUGGAAGGUUAAGAGGAGUGGUUAGCUUCUGCGAAGCUACGAAUCGAAGCCCCAGUAAACGGCGGCCGUAACUAUAACGGUCCUAAGGUAGCGAAAUUCCUUGUCGGGUAAGUUCCGACCCGCACGAAAGGCGUAACGAUUUGGGCACUGUCUCAACGAGAGACUCGGUGAAAUCAUAGUACCUGUGAAGAUGCAGGUUACCCGCGACAGGACGGAAAGACCCCGUGGAGCUUUACUGUAGCCUGAUAUUGAAAUUCGGCACAGCUUGUACAGGAUAGGUAGGAGCCUUUGAAACGUGAGCGCUAGCUUACGUGGAGGCGCUGGUGGGAUACUACCCUAGCUGUGUUGGCUUUCUAACCCGCACCACUUAUCGUGGUGGGAGACAGUGUCAGGCGGGCAGUUUGACUGGGGCGGUCGCCUCCUAAAAGGUAACGGAGGCGCUCAAAGGUUCCCUCAGAAUGGUUGGAAAUCAUUCAUAGAGUGUAAAGGCAUAAGGGAGCUUGACUGCGAGACCUACAAGUCGAGCAGGGUCGAAAGACGGA
rnacentral:rRNA from 1 species